GCGGGCGCAGGCGGCCGGAAUGGCGGGGCCCGGCUGGGGUCCCCCGCGCCUGGACGGCUUCAUCCUCACCGAGCGCCUGGGCAGCGGCACGUACGCCACGGUGUACAAGGCCUACGCCAAGAAUGCAAAGAAAUGGAUCAGCUAGCCGAGGGUUGGAGAAGACCAGGCUGAGGCUGUGUCGGGAAGCCAGGAUUCCAGAAUCAGCAUUCCUCACUGGCCUCACAAGGGAAAGCUGGGAAGCCCGGUGCUGGUGUGCAGUAGAAGGACACUCGUGAAGUGGUAGCCAUAAAGUGUGUAGCCAAGAAAAGUCUGAACAAGGCAUCGGUGGAGAACCUCCUCACGGAGAUUGAGAUCCUCAAGGGCAUUCGACAUCCCCACAUUGUGCAGCUGAAAGACUUUCAGUGGGACAGUGACAAUAUCUACCUCAUCAUGGAGUUUUGCGCAGGGGGCGACCUGUCUCGCUUCAUCCAUACCCGCAGGAUUCUGCCUGAGAAGGUGGCGCGUGUCUUCAUGCAGCAAUUAGCUAGCGCCCUGCAAUU
rnacentral:lncRNA from 1 species